rnacentral:tRNA from 1 species
GGAUUGUGGCUCAGUGGUAGAGCACUCGCUUAGCAUGGGUGGGACCCGGGUUUGAUUCUCAGCACCA